GCCAUUUAAAGUGGUACGCGAGCUGGGUUUAGAACGUCGUGAGACAGUUCGGUCCCUAUCUGCCGUGGGCGCUGGAGAAUUGAGGGGGGCUGCUCCUAGUACGAGAGGACCGGAGUGGACGCAUCACUGGUGUUCGGGUUGUCAUGCCAAUGGCACUGCCCGGUAGCUAAAUGCGGAAGAGAUAAGUGCUGAAAGCAUCUAAGCACGAAACUUGCCCCGAGAUGAGUUCUCCCUGAGACUUUAAGUCUCCUGAAGGAACGUUAAAGACGAUGACGUUGAUAGGCCGGGUGUGUAAGCGCAGCGAUGCGUUGAGCUAACCGGUACUAAUGAACCGUGAGGCUUAACCUU
rnacentral:rRNA from 1 species